GUGAGUAGUUCAGAGUUUGAUCCUGGCUCAGGAUGAACGCUAGCUACAGGCUUAACACAUGCAAGUCGAGGGGCAGCAUGAACAUAGCUUGCUAUGUUUGAUGGCGACCGGCGCACGGGUGCGUAACACGUAUCCAAUCUGCCCGUUACUCGGGGAUAGCCUUCUGAAAGGAAGAUUAAUACCCGAUAGUAUUCAUUAGCGGCAUCGCUUAUGAAUUAAAGAUUUAUUGGUAACGGAUGAGGAUGCGUACGAUUAGCUAGUUGGCGGGGUAACGGCCCACCAAGGCAACGAUCGUUAGGGGUUCUGAGAGGAAGGUCCCCCACACUGGAACUGAGACACGGUCCAG
rnacentral:rRNA from 1 species